rnacentral:lncRNA from 1 species
GUUUUUCAUAUUUUUAUGACCUUUAAAAUUUUUCUCCAGAGUAGUCUCAUACACCCUUUCUUAGAUGAAUUGCUUGAUGCUUUGUAAUUUUGUUGUGGUUACAAAUGGGGUCUUAUUUUCUGUGGUAUUUUCAGAUGCUGUGGUAGGUAGUCUCUAAGAUGAUGCCAAUAAUUGCCCACUUCCUGGUAUUUAUGCACUUCUAUUAUACCCUCUCCUUGAGAGUGGCCUAGACUUAACUGACUCAAUUCUAGCUAAUAGAAUACAGCAGAAAUGAUGGGAUUUCUCCUCUAAGAUUAAACUGCAAAAAGAACUACAGUUUUCAUCUCUUCCUCCCCUCCCCUAUUCUAGGGGAAGCAAACUUCCAGAUUGUGCGUAGACCAAUAGAGAGGCCCAUGUCGCAAAGAAGUAAUUUUUCUGGCGAACAUCCAGCAAGGACCUGAAGCCUCCAACAGCAACGUUAGCCCAAGUCACCCAGCAAAACCAAGCUUGGAUUCCUGACCCACAGAAAUUACCUCAAGAACUCUUUAGAACAGUACCCGUGAUUUUGGACCUGUUUGUCUUCAUCCUACUCUUGAAGAGUCUGCAUCUAAAGUUUCUCAUAAUAAGUGUGAGGAAGAAAAAGGAAAGGAAAGAAGCAUUUAUUUAGCACCUACUAUAUGCCAAGCACUGUGCCAGGAACAUUAUAGAUAUUGUCUUAUUUGGCUCUCAAGUCGUCUUCUAAGAUAAGUAUUAUUAUCCCCCUUUUGCCAAUGAUCCAGGGACGUUGAAGAAUCCAUGGAGUGGUUAAGCUUGGAUUUGAAUUCAGGCCUUUCCACCAGACCACACUGUCCCCUCCUCUUUGCGGACUCUCGCA